rnacentral:rRNA from 1 species
CCUACGGGAGGCAGCAGUAGGGAAUAUUGCUCAAUGGGGGAAACCCUGAAGCAGCAACGCCGCGUGGAGGAUGAAGGUUUUCGGAUUGUAAACUCCUUUUGUUAGAGAAGAUAAUGACGGUAUCUAACGAAUAAGCACCGGCUAACUCCGUGCCAGCAGCCGCGGUAAUACGGAGGGUGCAAGCGUUACUCGGAAUCACUGGGCGUAAAGAGCGCGUAGGCGGGAUAGCAAGUCAGACGUGAAAUCCUAUGGCUUAACCAUAGAACUGCAUUUGAAACUGUUAUUCUAGAGUAUGGGAGAGGUAGGUGGAAUUCGUGGUGUAGGGGUAAAAUGCGUAGAGAUCAAGAGGAAUACUGAUUGCGAAGGCGACCUGCUAGAACAUAACUGACGCUGAUGCGCGAAAGCGUGGGGAGCAAACAGGAUUAGAUACCCUAGUAGUC